UACGUAGGGUGCGAGCGUUGUCCGGAAUUAUUGGGCGUAAAGAGCUCGUAGGCGGUGUGUCGCGUCGGCCGUGAAAACCUGCAGCUUAACUGUGGGCUUGCGGUCGAUACGGGCAUCACUGGAGUUCGGCAGGGGAGACUGGAAUUCCUGGUGUAGCGGUGAAAUGCGCAGAUAUCAGGAGGAACACCGGUGGCGAAGGCGGGUCUCUGGGCCGAUACUGACGCUGAGGGGCGAAAGCGUGGGGAGCGAACAGG
rnacentral:rRNA from 1 species